CUCGCCUCUGUGGGACCAAGGAAGGAUGGGAAGGAAAGCUGAAGGGCCAGCAGAAGGAGGGCCUUAAGCUCCUAGCAGUUAGAGGUGAAACUGGCCCUAGCGAGGGGGCGUGGCCAAGCUCAAAUCCCGACGAGGGGGCGGGGCUCCAAUAACUGGGUCUCAGCGCCGCGGUGGCUGCGGCUGUCUCAGCAACGGCUCGCGCCUCCCCAUCCCCCAGUUCCCAGGGCUCUUCCCGCCUGCCGCGGUGCAGACCCAGGACGAAGGCGGAGAAGCCCGGUCCAGCCCGGUCCUCCGCCCGCACGGCUGGAGCAUCGUUCCGGAGGACUGCCCGAAGGCAAGCCUCGCAGCCGGAGAGCGCGGCGCACACGCGCGCCUCCCGGCCGCGGCCGUCCUCUCUUCCCUCCUUCCUCUCCUCUCCCCCUCCCCUCUCCUCCGCCCCCAGCCUCCGCUGCGGCGGGAGGAAGAACCCUUCCCGACUAGCCCAGAGAACCCAGGUCGAUUCUCAUUCCGGGAGAAAGAGACCCCCCUCGGUGGGAUCCGGCUGGCCGCUCGCCCCCGGCUACGGAAGUGACUGGUCAUCUAUUAGGAGAGCUCGUGCCUAGCGCAGCCCCCGACCCUCGCCUAGCCGCAGCCGCAUAGACAGCGCUCCCCAGCGGGCCCCCGGCCCCGCCGAGCCCACUCCCCGCUUGGGGCCAGGGCUGGCGAUGCCUGGCGCGGCAACGGCGGUGGCCGCGGCUGCUGCUGCUGCUGCCGCCACGGCUGCUGGCCGGAGCCCGGGUCGGGGGCUCGAGUCUCCGCAGUGGGGCUGAGCCCGCAGCCCCGCCCCCCGAGCCUGAGGCCGCUGCUCCGCCGGGCGCCGGGCCUUCUCCGCCCGCGCCUCCGCCCCAGGAACUGGAGCCAAGCGGGGAGCCCGGGCCCCGCGCCCAGGCCCGGACCAUGCAUGGCCACCGAGUCCCGGGGGGCCCUGGGCCUUCGGAUCCCGAACGCUCAGCGGCAAAUACCCCCGGUGCCGCUCCGCUGGCCUGUGCCGACUCGGACCCUGGAGCCUUGGAACCCGGGCUGCCGGUGAGCAGGGGCUCAGGCACGGCUCUUGGAGGCCCUUUGGAUCCUCAGUUUGUUGGACCCUCGGAUGCCAGCCUGGGAGCGCCUCCAAGCUCCCGGGUCUUACCCUGCGGCCCUAGUCCUCAGCACCACCGGGCCCUGCGCUUCUCCUACCACCUGGAGGGCUCGCAGCCUCGGCCUGGACUGCACCAGGGAAACCGGAUCCUGGUUAAAAGUUUGUCCCUUGACCCUGGCCAGAGCCUUGAGCCUCAUCCAGAAGGUCCCCAACGGCUUCGCUCAGAUCCAGGCCCUCCCACUGAAAUCCCUGGCCCACGUCCUUCACCACUGAAGCGGGCACCGGGCCCAAAGCCACAGGUUCCCCCAAAGCCCAGCUACCUGCAGAUGCCCCGGGUGCUUCCUCCUCCUGAGCCCAUUCCUCCACCACCAUCACGCCCUCUGCCUGCAGACCCUAGAGUGGCCAAGGGACUCGUCCCCAGAGCUGAGGCCAGCACUAGUUCUGCAGCAGUAUCAUCAUUGAUUGAGAAGUUUGAAAGAGAGCCUGUGAUUGUUGCCUCGGAUAGGCCAGCCCCUGGCCCCUGCCCAGUUCCCCCAGAGCCAGCCAUGUUGCCACAGCCACCCCCGCAGCCAACAGGGUCCCAGCUCCCUGAGGGUGAAGCUUCUCGCUGCCUGUUCCUGCUGGCUCCUGGGCCCCGGGAUGGUGAGAAGGUGCCUAACCGGGACAGCGGCAUUGACAGCAUCAGCUCGCCAUCCAACAGUGAAGAGACCUGCUUCGUCAGUGAUGAUGGGCCCCCCAUCCACAGCCUCUGUCCUGGGCCCCCCGCCCUGGCUAGUAUGCCAGUAGCUUUGGCCGACCCCCACCGGCCUGGCUCCCAGGAGGUUGACAGUGACCUGGAAGAGGAAGAGGAAGAAGAAGAGGAGGAAAAGGAAAGAGAAAUUCCAGUGCCCCCGAUGGAGAGACAGGAGUCUGUGGAGCUGACUGUGCAGCAGAAGGUGUUCCAUAUUGCCAAUGAGCUCCUGCAAACUGAGAAGGCCUAUGUUUCCAGGCUCCAUCUCCUGGAUCAGGUAUUCUGUGCCCGGCUGCUGGAAGAAGCUCGGAACCGCAGUUCCUUCCCCGCAGAUGUUGUCCACGGCAUCUUCUCUAACAUCUGCUCCAUCUAUUGCUUCCACCAGCAGUUCCUGCUGCCUGAGCUAGAGAAGCGCAUGGAGGAAUGGGACCGCUACCCACGCAUUGGUGACAUUCUUCAGAAGUUGGCACCCUUCCUCAAGAUGUAUGGCGAGUAUGUGAAAAACUUCGACCGGGCGGUAGAGCUGGUCAACACAUGGACAGAGCGGUCUACCCAGUUUAAAGUCAUCAUCCAUGAAGUACAGAAGGAGGAAGCCUGUGGCAACCUGACCUUGCAGCACCACAUGCUGGAGCCCGUGCAGCGUAUCCCCCGCUAUGAACUUCUUCUCAAGGACUAUCUGUUAAAGCUGCCUCAUGGCUCCCCGGACAGCAAGGAUGCCCAGAAGUCUUUGGAGCUGAUAGCCACAGCAGCAGAACACUCUAAUGCUGCCAUCCGGAAAAUGGAACGAAUGCACAAGCUGCUGAAGGUGUAUGAGCUGCUAGGGGGUGAGGAGGACAUUGUCAGUCCCACCAAAGAGCUCAUAAAGGAAGGCCAUAUCCUUAAGCUGUCAGCAAAGAAUGGGACCACUCAAGAUCGAUACCUCAUAUUAUUCAACGACCGCCUCCUUUACUGCGUGCCCAGGCUGCGGCUCCUUGGUCAGAAGUUUAGCGUGCGGGCACGCAUUGAUGUAGAUGGCAUGGAGCUAAAGGAGAGCUCCAACCUCAACAUGCCUCGGACCUUCCUGGUGUCAGGAAAGCAGCGCUCUCUCGAACUGCAGGCCAGGCCAUCAAUUCCACCCUCCUGAAGCAUGAACAGACCCUGGAGACUUUCAAACUGUUGAACUCAACAAACAGGGAUGAUGAAGAUACUCCCCCUAACUCUCCAAACGUGGAUCUUGGGAAGAGGGCACCUACGCCUAUCCGGGAAAAGGAAGUCACCAUGUGCAUGCGCUGCCAGGAGCCCUUCAAUUCCAUCACCAAACGCAGGCACCACUGCAAGGCCUGUGGGCAUGUGGUUUGUGGGAAAUGCUCUGAGUUCCGAGCCCGACUCAUCUAUGACAACAAUCGUUCCAACCGUGUGUGCACUGAUUGCUAUGUGGCCUUGCAUGGAGCACCUGGGAGCAGUCCAGCCUGUAGCCAGCAUACACCCCAGCGCAGGAGGUCCAUCCUAGAGAAACAGGCCUCGGUCGCUGCUGAGAACAGCGUCAUCUGCAGCUUCCUGCACUACAUGGAGAAGGGUGGGAAAGGAUGGCACAAGGCAUGGUUUGUGGUUCCUGAGAAUGAACCCUUGGUGCUGUACAUCUAUGGAGCCCCUCAGGAUGUGAAAGCCCAGCGCAGCCUGCCCCUCAUUGGCUUUGAGGUGGGGCCUCCUGAGGCAGGAGAGCGGCCAGACAGGAGGCAUGUCUUCAAGAUCACACAAAGCCACCUAAGCUGGUACUUCAGCCCAGAGACAGAAGAACUCCAGCGGCGCUGGAUGGCUGUUCUCGGCAGGGCGGGCCGUGGGGACACAUUCUGCCCAGGGCCCACACUGUCUGAGGACAAGGAGAUGGAGGAGACACCAGUGGCAGCCUCAGGAGCCACUGCUGAACCUCCUGAAGCCUCCCAGACCCGAGACAAGACCUAGAGGGUUUGGGGGGAACUGGGAGUUUCUGCCCCACACUCCAGCUGCCCAUGUUCAAUUGGGGGCUCCAGCCCACUCCCAAUGCAGUCAAUACUUGAAUUCCCAUCAAGGGCACUUUCAAUCCCGAAUGCUGGGUCAUGGGUUUUUUAAUUCAUCUUUUCACAAAAGGUGGGCUUUUUAAAAAAAAAAAAAAAACUAUUCCUACAUUGAUGUUAAUUUUUUAAAUCCCUGUCCCCAGGGAGGGCGGGAGCUAAUUGCUAGACUCACUUGAAUUAGUUUCCUCCCAGUACCCCACUUCCACCCAGCUCCCCACAAAAGUACCAGAGGCAGGAGACCUGGAUUCAAGUGCCAGCUCUGCUACUGACCCUGGGACCCCAACCCACCCUUUCCUCCUCAGCCAGUGUCUUCACAUGUAUGACCUUACAUGGGGUGGUGACUAGACCCUUCUUGCCUUUCCCAUGGCUUAUAGCUUCUACCUAGCCCCAAAGCAAUCCAGUAUUUUAUCGUCCAGAUCCAUGGCAGGGCCACUGGGCAGGACGGGAAUGGGGGAGGGGGGGGGAGGACAAUGGAUACUGUUUUUUAAAGAAAAAUACAGUUUAUUUCAGGCAUACAGUAA